AGUGAACGCUGGCGGUAGGCCUAACACAUGCAAGUCGAACGGCAGCACAGUAAGAGCUCGCUCUUACGGGUGGCGAGUGGCGGACGGGUGAGGAAUACAUCGGCAUCUACUUUUUCGUGGGGGAUAACGUAGGGAAACUUACGCUAAUAGCGCAUACGUCCUACGGGUGAAUUCAGGGGAUCUUCGGACCUUGCGCGACUGAAUGAGCCGAUGUCGGAUUAGCUAGUUGGCGAGGUAAAGGCCCACCAAGGCGACGAUGCGUAGUUGAUCUGAGAGGAUGAUCGGCCACACUGGAACUGAGACACGGUCCAGACUCCUACGGGAGGCAGCAGUAGGGAAUAUUGGACAAUGGGCGCAAGCCUGAUCCAGCCAUACCGCGUGAGUGAUGAAGGCCUUCGGGUUGUAAAGCCCUUUUGUUGGGAAAGAAAAGCAGCAGGUUAAUACCCCGCUGUUCUGACGGUACCCAAAGAAUAAGCACCGGCUAACUUCGUG
rnacentral:rRNA from 1 species